GCUAAUCCUAGAUUUUAAUUUAAAAAAAUUUACUGAAAUAAAAAAUAAAUGAAUAAUUCUUUAAUUAAAUAAAUAAUAAUUUAGUCAUGGCAUCCACACAUUUCCUCUUAUUGCUUUUCUCCUCAUUUCCUUUGUGCAGCCGCCAUUUUAAUUUCCACACGACACGAGUAAACGGCACAAAAUUUGAUUUAACUAUUGCAAUACAAUUACUUCUUAUUAAUGAUCUACAGAAAUGUUUUAAUAAAAUCAAAUAUGGCGAGCGUAAGAUUUGAAUAAACAUUGAAGUUUUUGUGAAUGAAUGACAAUUGAAAGCAGUAUCACCAACAACUCUGUGGUGCCUGAGGCUUGCAAGUGCAAAUGUCUGCUUGCUAAUUCGAAAUAAUUUGGUUAUUUAGUAGUAAAAGUGUGUGCUCCCGUUAUUAAAGUAUAUGCAAUGGAAAGUGCGAGAAAUUUAAACGAAUCCUAGACGGAUUCUCGAAACGAGUCGGAACGACGUGCACUCACGUAAAAUUUAUCGCAUUACACUCAUAGAACAAACAUGUUUACCCGUUAAAACUACUACAUACAC